rnacentral:rRNA from 1 species
GACGAACGCUGGCGGCGUGCUUAACACAUGCAAGUCGAACGGAAAGGCCCUGCUUUUGUGGGGUGCUCGAGUGGCGAACGGGUGAGUAACACGUGAGUAACCUGCCCUUGACUUUGGGAUAACUUCAGGAAACUGGGGCUAAUACCGGAUAGGAGCUCCUGCUGCAUGGUGGGGGUUGGAAAGUUUCGGCGGUUGGGGAUGGACUCGCGGCUUAUCAGCUUGUUGGUUGGGUAGUGGAUUACCAAGGCUUUGACCGGUAGCCGGCCUGGGAGGGUGACCGGCCACAUUGGGACUGAGAUACGGCCCAGCCUCCUACGGGAGGCAGCAGUGGGGAAUAUUGCACAAUAGGCGGGAGCCUGAUGCAGCCACGCAGCGUGCGGGAUGACGGCCUUCGGGUUGGAUACCGCUUUCGCCUUUGACGAAGCGUGAGUGACGGUAAUGGGUAAAGAAGCACCGGCUAACUACGUG